UUUUACAUUCUACUACCAAAAAUAAGUGUAUAUAUAUACACCUCUCGAUCUCUCUUUCUAAACAUUUUAUUUUCAAAAGUAAACUUACAUCUUUUACUGGUUUCUGAAUACCUUAUCCAAAAAAUGAACACAAGUGAGCUCUCGACCGUUGCAGUACCAUAUCCUGCUCCUCCCAAUUCCGGUACUGCUAGUGCCCCGGGACGGGAUCGUUAUGCGGCUCCAUCAUGGUACCACCUCUAAGUGCCGGUUAUGCUACAGAUGAUAUUUCUCAGGGGUCUGCAGGCAAAACCGUUGACCCGGAGAAAAAGGAAGACAAAAAAGCAGGCUGCUGCUGUCGCGCUAUCAAGUGUAUCUUGUGCUGCGGGCUGCAGCACUGCUUGUUAGCCAUGUUAGCCAUGUUAGGUUGCUCAUGAACCCCAACCGAAUGAACGGCGUACGUCCGUUCAUUAUGUUGAAAAUAAUAGUUUGUGCUUCUAUUAUCAUAUUAUAAUGUUCAGUUCUUAUUCUCGAUCGUGUAAUCAUUGUACAAUUAAUCGAUCAUCCUUGUUAUGAGUUGAUCAUGAUCGAUGAUUCGAUUAAUUGAUGUCCUUUCUUUCUCAUUUAAGUUAUUAACUUGUUAUUAUGUUCAGUUCUUAUUCUCGUGUGAUCAUUGUACAAUUAAUCGAUCAUCCUUGUUAUGAGUUGAUCAUGAUCGAUGAUUCAA